AAACAGAUGCUAAUACCGCAUAACAACUUGGACCGCAUGGUCCGAGCUUGAAAGAUGGCUUCGGCUAUCACUUUUGGAUGGUCCCGCGGCGUAUUAGCUAGAUGGUGGGGUAACGGCUCACCAUGGCAAUGAUACGUAGCCGACCUGAGAGGGUAAUCGGCCACAUUGGGACUGAGACACGGCCCAAACUCCUACGGGAGGCAGCAGUAGGGAAUCUUCCACAAUGGACGAAAGUCUGAUGGAGCAACGCCGCGUGAGUGAAGAAGGGUUUCGGCUCGUAAAACUCUGUUGUUAAAGAAGAACAUAUCUGAGAGUAACUGUUCAGGUAUUGACGGUAUUUAACCAGAAAGCCACGGCUAACUACGUGCCAGCAGCCGCGGUAAUACGUAGGUGGCAAGCGUUGUCCGGAUUUAUUGGGCGUAAAGCGAGCGCAGGCGGUUUUUUAAGUCUGAUGUGAAAGCCUUCGGCUCAACCGAAGAAGUGCAUCGGAAACUGGGAAA
rnacentral:rRNA from 1 species